rnacentral:ncRNA from 1 species
ACGGCUCCGGUUCACCCCCUCGCCCGGCCCCGGUAGCACCGGGCUGGCCAGGCAGGGCGGACCCGGCGGCC